UUGUGAGGGCGAAGGUGGUGCGGAGAAAAAAAAAGAAUGUAGGCCGAAAGCUUUUAACCUCAAUUCAAACCUGUCGAUACGGUUUUGGUUGAUACUGUCUUGGUGUGACACUGCACGCAGUCGUGUGCAACAUUAUCAACAAUUCUAUGUAUUCCUGAUACCUUGAUGCAGCGAGAUUUCGAGUGUUCGUUGAUGUAUAUUUAGUUAUUUUUCCGUGGCUAUAUCGUGAGAGCAACAAAAGCAUCCUUGGACAAAUUGUACAUAACGCACACAGGAAUAAAAUACCGGAUAAUAUGUUUAUCUUCUCUUGUCGUAUCAGACGAACAGCUGGAACUCUAAAACUGAUGAUUCACAACAGUAGCUACUACUACUUCUCUUCGACGUCAUUUAACCAAAGUGCGUAGUUGUUUAGCAAUGUUCGCACCAAGAAACGUAAACAAAUAUACAUAU